UACGAAGGGGGCUAGCGUUGCUCGGAAUCACUGGGCGUAAAGGGUGCGUAGGCGGGUCUUUAAGUCAGGGGGGAAAUCCUGGAGCUCAACACCAGAACUGCCUUUGAUACUGAGGAUCUUGAGUACGGGAGAGGUGAGUGGAACUGCGAGUGUAGAGGUGAAAUUCGUAGAUAUUCGCAAGAACACCAGUGGCGAAGGCGGCUCACUGGCCCGUUACUGACGCUGAGGCACGAAAGCGUGGGGAGCAAACAGG
rnacentral:rRNA from 1 species